ACCACCUCCCUCCUUAACAUUUCUGGAGACUUGGAGAUGCGGCGUUGAGAUUCGGGGGAGAAAAGAAAGUUCCCUUGGAUCCCGAGUUAUUUAAGAUCUCACCAAGUUAUUCGCCGCCGCUGAUGUGCCCUACCCUUUGCACCUCCGGACCAGCGCUUUUUUUGGAAUACUAUCUAGCCUUGAGACUGUUUAGCAGAAAGUGGCCAUUUUCCUCCCUUGGCCCGGGCUCCCGGUUUCCUCCCUGAGGCUUGUUUAAAAGCGAAGUAGCAGGGCCCCGUGGGACGCGCCUUGGUCUGGGUAAUCACCCCCACGCCCGGGUCAUCCACCUUCCUCUCGGUGACCGAGGUUCAGCAGCCUCUGCUAUUGCCGGCCGUCUUUGCCGAUGGCCUGCCUCCCUAAUGACUUGUUUACAUAUCCUACCCCCAGUGGGUUAGGAGAAGCUCCGGGGCUGCCCCGACCCUCCGAGUGCAGGGUGUUUGGGGACCGGGAGGCUGCUGGGGCCUGACUCCAGCUGGGAGGGUUAUGAACUGCAUCAGUGACGAGCUGCUUGAAAUAUCUGUUGCAUUUACUCUUAGUCAUAGCUG
rnacentral:lncRNA from 1 species